AUUUGCAUUACAGGGUGAGUUCUCCGUUGGCAGGUAGCUAGCCACUAUAGUAGUAUAUGAUAUGAAUUAAUUAUGUUACACACAUUAAUUAUGCAAUUCAUAUUUCUUAGUGUGCAAUCUGCCAAAGGAGAUUUGCCCAGUGAUUCUCCA
rnacentral:pre_miRNA from 1 species